AGAGUUUGAUCCUGGCUCAGGAUGAACGCCGGCGGUGUGCCUAAUACAUGCAAGUCGUACGCACUGGCCCAACUGAUUGAUGGUGCUUGCACCUGAUUGACGAUGGAUCACCAGUGAGUGGCGGACGGGUGAGUAACACGUAGGUAACCUGCCUCGGAGCGGGGGAUAACAUUUGGAAACAGAUGCUAAUACCGCAUAACAACAAAAGCCACAUGGCUUUUGUUUGAAAGAUGGCUUUGGCUAUCACUCUGGGAUGGACCUGCGGUGCAUUAGCUAGUUGGUAAGGUAACGGCUUACCAAGGCAAUGAUGCAUAGCCGAGUUGAGAGACUGAUCGGCCACAAUGGAACUGAGACACGGUCCAUACUCCUACGGGAGGCAGCAGUAGGGAAUCUUCCACAAUGGGCGCAAGCCUGAUGGAGCAACACCGCGUGAGUGAAGAAGGGUUUCGGCUCGUAAAGCUCUGUUGUUGGAGAAGAACGUGCGUGAGAGUAACUGUUCACGCAGUGACGGUAUCCAACCAGAAAGUCACGGCUAACUACGUGCCAGCAGCCGCGGUAAUACGUAGGUGGCAAGCGUUAUCCGGAUUUAUUGGGCGUAAAGCGAGCGCAGGCGGUUGCUUAGGUCUGAUGUGAAAGCCUUCGGCUUAACCGAAGAAGUGCAUCGGAAACCGGGCGACUUGAGUGCAGAAGAGGACAGUGGAACUCCAUGUGUAGCGGUGGAAUGCGUAGAUAUAUGGAAGAACACCAGUGGCGAAGGCGGCUGUCUGGUCUGCAACUGACGCUGAGGCUCGAAAGCAUGGGUAGCGAACAGGAUUAGAUACCCUGGUAGUCCAUGUCGUAAACGAUGAGUGCUAGGUGUUGGAGGGUUUCCGCCCUUCAGUGCCGGAGCUAACGCAUUAAGCACUUCGCCUGGGGAGUACGACCGCAAGGUUGAAACUCAAAGGAAUUGACGGGGGCCCGCACAAGCGGUGGAGCAUGUGGUUUAAUUCGAAGCUACGCGAAGAACCUUACCAGGUCUUGACAUCUUGCGCUAACCUUAGAGAUAAGGCGUUCCCUUCGGGGACGCAAUGACAGGUGGUGCAUGGUCGUCGUCAGCUCGUGUCGUGAGAUGUUGGGUUAAGUCCCGCAACGAGCGCAACCCUUGUUACUAGUUGCCAGCAUUAAGUUGGGCACUCUAGUGAGACUGCCGGUGACAAACCGGAGGAAGGUGGGGACGACGUCAGAUCAUCAUGCCCCUUAUGACCUGGGCUACACACGUGCUACAAUGGACGGUACAACGAGUCGCAAGCUCGCGAGAGUAAGCUAAUCUCUUAAAGCCGUUCUCAGUUCGGACUGUAGGCUGCAACUCGCCUACACGAAGUCGGAAUCGCUAGUAAUCGCGGAUCAGCAUGCCGCGGUGAAUACGUUCCCGGGCCUUGCACUCACCGCCCGUCA
rnacentral:rRNA from 1 species